AAGAAAAGAAAAAGCAUUCACACGUCUUACCUCUUGUUCUAGUUCCAGAGACCAAAGGUGAACCUACUGGGGCUGGCUUGGGGAGAAGAGUAAAUCUUGUCCCAGAAGAAACUGUCUGAG
ensembl:snoRNA SNORD22 Small nucleolar RNA SNORD22